rnacentral:rRNA from 1 species
AUUGAACGCUGGCGGCAUGCCUUACACAUGCAAGUCGAACGGCAGCGGACCUUCGGGUGCCGGCGAGUGGCGAACGGGUAAGUAAUAUAUCGGAACGUACCUUUCAGUGGGGGAUAACGUAGCGAAAGUUACGCUAAUACCGCAUAUUCUGUGAGCAGGAAAGCAGGGGAUCGCAAGACCUUGCGCUGAUUGAGCGGCCGAUAUCAGAUUAGCUAGUUGGUGAGGUAAAGGCUCACCAAGGCGACGAUCUGUAGCGGGUCUGAGAGGAUGAUCCGCCACACUGGAACUGAGACACGGUCCAGACUCCUACGGGAGGCAGCAGUAGGGAAUUUUGGACAAUGGGCGCAAGCCUGAUCCAGCCAUGCCGCGUGAGUGAAGAAGGCCUCGGUUGUAAG